GGGCCCGGGGCUCCGGCAGCCCGGGGGUCCGACUCGGCCUGUGGGGGUCAGGCCCUACCCCUGCCCGUCGGCGCCGGCCUGCCCGGCCCUGCGUGGUGGGGACGCCAACCCAAGACCAGCCCCUUGCCCAAAGAGGACCCUUUGUCGCAGGGGAGCGGCCCCUCGGAGGAUCAACGCUGUACUUCCCUCCCGCUAAGGGCUCCGCGAGUCCGCCGAGGGGUGCCCUGAUGGGGCCCGGGCAAACUGGACCAGCAGCACAGUGGGGGGUGUUGGGGGGCGUCCGCUGGACCCGCGUCUCUGCGUGGGGCUGCCCCGUCCUCAGGCUUUCUGCUGGCCCAGCUGUACCUGUGAUGCCCGAGGUUGCCACUUACAGGUGGGGGCUGGGCCUGAAAUUCUGCCUCCCCAGGUCUCCCUCCCUACCUGUCCCCAGCCUAUUCCUAGGCUUGUGUUCCCGGGGUGUAGAGGAGGCCUGUCCCCCGGCGCGGUUGCCGGCCAUGCCCUCUGUCUGCCUCCUCCUGCUGCUGUUCCUUGCCGUGGGGGGGGCCCUGGGCAGCAGGCCCUUCCGUGCCUUUGUGGUGACAGAUACCAAGCUUACCCACUUGGCUGUGCACCGGGUGACUGGGGAGGUGUUCGUGGGCGCAGUGAACCGAGUCUUUAAGCUGGCCUCCAACCUGACUGAGCUGCGGGCCCAUGUCACGGGGCCCAUCGAGGACAACGCUCGCUGCUACCCACCCCCCAGCAUGCGCGUGUGUGCCCACCGCCUGGCCCCCGUGGACAACAUCAACAAGCUGCUGCUCAUAGACUAUGCGGCCCGCCGCCUGGUGGCCUGCGGCAGCAUCUGGCAGGGCAUCUGCCAGUUCCUGCGCGUGGACGACCUCUUCAAGCUGGGUGAGCCGCACCACCGCAAGGAGCACUACCUGUCGGGGGCCCAGGAGCCUGACUCCAUGGCUGGUGUCAUUGUGGAGCAGGGCCAGGGGCCCAGCAAGCUGUUCGUGGGCACUGCUGUCGACGGCAAGUCGGAGUACUUCCCCACCUUGAGCUCCCGCAAGCUCAUCAGUGAUGAAGACAGCGUGGACAUGUUCAGUCUCGUGUACCAGGAUGAGUUUGUCUCCUCCCAGAUCAAGAUUCCCUCGGACACGCUGUCCUUGUACCCUGCCUUUGACAUCUACUACAUCUACGGCUUCGUCAGCGCCUCCUUCGUGUACUUCCUGACGCUGCAGCUGGACACCCAGCAGACGCUGCUGGACACAGCGGGCGAGAAAUUCUUCACGUCCAAGAUCGUGCGCAUGUGCGCUGGGGACUCAGAGUUCUACUCAUAUGUGGAAUUCCCCAUCGGCUGCUCCUGGCGUGGUGUGGAGUACCGCUUAGUGCAGAGCGCCCACCUGGCCAAGCCUGGCCUGCUGCUGGCCCAGGCCCUGGGCGUGCCGGCUGACGAGGACAUCCUCUUCACCAUCUUCUCUCAGGGCCAGAAGAACCGAGCCAGCCCACCCCGGCAGACCAUCCUCUGCCUCUUCACUCUCAGCAACAUCAAUGCCCACAUCCGGCGCCGUAUCCAGUCCUGCUAUCGCGGGGAGGGCACCCUGGCCCUGCCCUGGCUGCUGAACAAGGAGCUGCCCUGCAUCAACACUCCCAUGCAGAUCAACGGCAACUUCUGCGGGCUGGUGUUGAACCAGCCUCUGGGAGGCCUGCACGUGAUCGAGGGGCUGCCCCUGCUGGCCGACAGCACCGACGGCAUGGCCAGUGUGGCCGCCUACACCUACCGCCGGCAUUCUGUGGUCUUCAUUGGCACGCGCAGCGGCAGCCUGAAGAAGGUGCGGGUCGAUGGCUCCCAGGAUGCCCACCUGUAUGAGACGGUCCCCGUGGUGGAUGGCAGCCCCAUCCUCCGAGACCUGCUCUUCAGCCCGGACCACCAGCACAUCUAUCUCCUGAGUGAGAAGCAGGUGAGCCAGCUUCCAGUGGAGACCUGUGAGCAGUACCCGAGCUGCACGGCCUGCCUGGGCUCCGGGGACCCACACUGUGGUUGGUGUGUGCUGCAGCACAGGUGCUGCCGCGAAGGGGCCUGUCCGGGCGCCUCUGCCCCGCACGGCUUUGCUGAGGAACUGAACAAGUGUGUCCAGGUGCGGGUCCGGCCCAACAAUGUGUCAGUGAUGUCGCCUGGGGUGCAGCUGACCGUCGCCCUGCAUAAUGUGCCGGACCUCAGUGCAGGCGUGAGCUGCACCUUCGAGGAGGUGGCGGAGAGUGAGGCGAUCCUGCUGCCCUCUGGUGAACUGCUCUGCCCCUCACCCUCCCUCCAGGAGCUCCGAGCUCUUACCAGAGGGCAUGGGGCCACCCGCACCGUGCGGCUGCAGCUUCUCUCCAAGGAGACAGGCGUGAGGUUCGCCGGUGCUGACUUUGUCUUCUACAAUUGCAGCGUUCUCCAGUCGUGCAUGUCCUGUGUUGGCAGCCCCUACCCCUGCCACUGGUGUAAGUACCGCCACGCUUGUACCAGCCGCCCCCAUGAGUGCUCCUUCCAGGAGGGCAGGGUCCGCAGCCCUGAGGGCUGCCCUGAGAUCCUGCCCAGUGGGGACCUCCUGAUCCCCGUUGGGGUCAUGCAGCCUCUUACCUUGCGGGCUAAGAACCUACCUCAGCCGCAAUCGGGCCAGAAGAACUAUGAGUGCGUGGUGCGGGUGCAGGGGCGGCAGCAGCGGGUGCCUGCCGUGCGCUUCAACAGCAGCAGUGUGCAGUGCCAGAAUGCCUCGUACUCCUAUGAAGGUGAUGAGCAUGGUGACACCGAGCUGGACUUUUCCGUGGUCUGGGAUGGAGACUUCCCCAUAGACAAGCCUCCCAGCUUCCGAGCCCUCCUGUACAAGUGCUGGGCGCAGCGGCCUAGCUGUGGCCUCUGCCUCAAGGCUGAUCCCCGCUUCAACUGUGGCUGGUGCAUCUCAGAGCACAGGUGCCAGCUGCGGACCCACUGCCCAGCCCCAAAGACCAACUGGAUGCAUCUGAGCCAGAAGGGCACCCGGUGCAGCCACCCCCACAUCACGCAGAUCCACCCUCUUGUGGGGCCUAAGGAGGGAGGCACCCGGGUCACCAUCAUGGGUGAGAACCUGGGCCUCUUGUCCCGAGAGGUGGGCCUGCGGGUGGCUGGUGUGCGUUGCAACUCUAUCCCGGCCGAGUACAUCAGUGCUGAGAGGAUCGUGUGUGAGAUGGAGGAGUCGCUGGUGCCCAGCCCACCGCCGGGGCCCGUGGAGCUGUGCGUGGGUGACUGUUCAGCUGACUUCCGCACACAGUCGGAGCAGCUCUACAGCUUUGUGACCCCAACAUUUGACCAAGUGAGUCCCAGCCGUGGCCCGGCGUCAGGGGGCACACGGCUCACCAUCUCAGGCAGCUCUCUGGAUGCUGGCAGCAGGGUCACAGUGACUGUGAGGGACAGCGAGUGCCAGUUCGUAAGGAGAGAUGCCAAGGCGAUCGUGUGCAUCUCACCCGUCUCCACCCUGGGCCCCAGCCAGGCCCCCAUCACACUUGCCAUUGACCGGGCUAACAUCUCCAGCCCCGGAGUCCUCUACACCUACACUCAGGACCCGACCGUCACCCGCCUUGAGCCCACCUGGAGCAUCAUCAACGGAAGCACCGCCAUCACUGUGAGCGGGACACACCUGCUAACGGUCCAGGAGCCCCGGGUCCGUGCCAAGUACCGUGGCAUCGAGACCACCAACACAUGUCAGGUGAUCAACGACACUGCCAUGCUGUGUAAGGCCCCCGGCAUCUUUCUUGGGCAGCCCCAGCCUCGGGCGCAAGGCGAGCACCCUGAUGAGUUUGGUUUCCUGCUGGACCACGUGCAAACUGCCCGCUCCCUCAACCGCUCCUCCUUUACCUACUACCCUGACCCCAGCUUUGAGCCGCUGGGGCCCUCUGGUGUGCUGGAUGUCAAACCGGGCUCCCACGUGGUGCUGAAGGGCAAGAACCUGAUUCCCGCAGCAGCCGGCAGCUCCCGCCUCAACUACACUGUGCUGAUAGGAGGCCAGCCGUGUGCGCUCACUGUCUCGGACACACAACUCCUGUGCGACUCACCCAGCCAGACUGGCCGGCAGCCUGUCAUGGUGCUGGUGGGUGGCCUGGAGUUCUGGCUGGGCACCUUGCACAUCUCGGCAGAGCGGGCACUGACCCUGCCGGCCAUGAUGGGGCUGGCAGCGGGGGGCGGGCUCCUGCUGCUGGCCAUCACAGCUGUGCUGGUGGCCUACAAGCGCAAGACUCAGGACGCGGACCGCACCCUCAAGCGCCUGCAGCUGCAGAUGGACAACCUGGAAUCCCGUGUGGCUCUGGAGUGCAAGGAAGCUUUUGCAGAGCUGCAGACAGACAUCAACGAGCUGACUAACCACAUGGACGAGGUGCAGAUCCCCUUCCUGGACUACCGGACCUAUGCCGUGCGCGUGCUCUUCCCAGGCAUCGAGGCCCACCCGGUGCUCAAGGAGCUGGACACGCCACCCAAUAUGGAGAAGGCCCUGCGCCUCUUCGGGCAGCUGCUGCACAGCCGCGCCUUCGUGCUUACCUUCAUCCACACGCUGGAAGCCCAGAGCAGCUUCUCCAUGCGCGAUCGCGGCACCGUGGCCUCGCUCACCAUGGUGGCCCUGCAGAGCCGGCUCGACUAUGCCACGGGGCUGCUCAAGCAACUGCUGGCUGAUCUCAUCGAGAAAAACCUGGAGAGUAAGAACCAUCCCAAGCUGCUGCUACGCAGGACAGAGUCAGUGGCCGAGAAGAUGCUUACCAACUGGUUCACGUUCCUGCUGCAUAAGUUUCUGAAGGAGUGUGCUGGGGAGCCUCUCUUCCUGCUUUACUGCGCCAUCAAGCAGCAGAUGGAGAAGGGCCCAAUCGAUGCCAUCACGGGCGAGGCGCGAUACUCCCUGAGCGAGGACAAGUUGAUCCGGCAGCAGAUUGACUACAAGACACUGACCCUGCACUGCGUGUGUCCGGAGAACGAGGGCAGUGCCCAAGUCCCAGUGAAGGUUCUCAACUGUGACAGCAUCACCCAGGCCAAAGAUAAGCUGCUGGACACUGUGUACAAGGGCAUUCCGUACUCCCAGCGCCCCAAAGCUGAGGACAUGGACCUGGAGUGGCGCCAGGGCCGCAUGACUCGCAUCAUCCUCCAGGAUGAGGAUGUCACCACCAAGAUCGAGUGUGACUGGAAGAGGCUCAACUCACUGGCCCACUACCAGGUGACAGAUGGUUCCUUGGUGGCACUGGUGCCCAAACAAGUAUCUGCCUAUAACAUGGCCAACUCCUUCACCUUCACCCGCUCCCUCAGCCGCUACGAGAGCUUGCUCCGCACAGCCAGCAGCCCUGAUAGCCUCCGCUCACGGGCACCCAUGAUCACGCCUGACCAGGAGACGGGCACCAAAUUGUGGCACCUGGUGAAAAACCACGACCAUGCCGACCAUCGUGAGGGGGACCGUGGCAGCAAGAUGGUCUCCGAGAUCUACCUGACACGGCUGCUGGCCACCAAGGGCACACUGCAGAAGUUCGUGGAUGACCUCUUUGAGACAGUGUUCAGCACAGCCCACCGGGGCUCAGCCCUGCCCCUGGCCAUCAAGUACAUGUUCGACUUCCUGGACGAGCAGGCCGACCAGCGCCAGAUCAGCGACCCCGACGUGCGCCACACCUGGAAGAGCAACUGGUAUCGCCCUGUGCUGGGCUGCCAGCAACCUGUCUGGAGAUGGCCUGCCGCUGCGCUUCUGGGUGAAUGUGAUCAAGAACCCGCAGUUCGUGUUCGACAUCCACAAGAACAGCAUCACGGACGCCUGCCUGUCGGUGGUAGCCCAGACCUUCAUGGACUCCUGCUCCACAUCCGAGCACCGCCUGGGGAAGGACUCGCCCUCCAACAAACUACUCUAUGCCAAGGACAUCCCCAACUACAAGAGCUGGGUGGAGAGGUAUUAUCGAGACAUUGCAAAGAUGGCAUCCAUCAGUGACCAGGACAUGGAUGCUUACCUGGUGGAGCAGUCCCGCCUCCAUGCCAGCGACUUCAAUGUCCUGAGUGCACUCAGCGAGCUCUAUUUCUAUGUCACCAAGUACCGCCAGGAGAUUCUCACGGCUCUGGAACGAGAUGCCUCUUGUCGGAAGCAUAAGUUACGGCAGAAACUGGAACAGAUCAUCAACCUCGUGUCCAGUGACAGCUAAGGGUGGUGGAAUUGGUGAGGAGGGGCUUCUCAGUCCUGAGUCGUCCUCCCAUCCAGGGAGUGGCUGGCUUGAGCGUGGGUCCCCGGGCUGAGCCCUGGAUUGGGUAUCAUGGAGCAGGUCACCCUGGCCAGGAUGCCCCCAGCACACCCAGGCCCCCUUCAUUAGUGCCUUGCUUUGGGCCCUGCAGGGGGAGGGGUGACAGGAUGAGCCCCCAUCCCAGCAGCAGCAAUACCCCCACCCUCCUGCCCUGUGCCCAGGUGUUGGGACAGACCCGCCCUCCCUGCUAUUUAUAUCCCUCUGCCUAUUUAUUGAAUCAAACUCCGCCUCCGUCUCCAUCUGUAAAUAUGUGUCCCCCACGGGAUGUCGCCAGCCUCACUCACCUGCCUGUUCUUGAGCUGUCCUGGGCCCUGCCACCCGUCUGGGCUCCUUUGUGUAGCAUUAUCAGCCUUGGUCUGGCCUCUGGCACCUCACCCCUGCCAUGGCUGACCCCACCCAUUCCAAGGCGGGGUCACGGUACCAGUGGCACUUGGGGUGAGGUCUCCAAAGCUUCCUCAGAAUUGUGGCUGUGCCACACUGGGCCACAGGGUCCCCCUCAAGCACCUUGGGGCCCUCUUCUCGCUGAGCAUCUGGAGGACUGGACCCAGGCUUGUGCCAGGGCCUGACUUAGGCCUAGGGGCCCCAGAAUGCUGCUCCUCCUGAGCCUACUGCCAAAUGUCCUCAGUGUUGUCUGCACCUGCUCCGACUCACUCAGCCGCCCCAUUCAGCGCCCGCUCCGUCCAGCGCCCGCCCUGAGGGGCCAAGGCGGCCGUGCCUUACUAUUCCGUGUCUUCUGCCUCCUCUGAGGAAUCUGACCCUGUCUCACGGUCCCAGACCCCCCAUUCUCUCCUCUUAGUUGCAUGACUUUUUCUUUGUUCAUGGAAUGUUUUUUCCUAAUUAAAUGUUGGGAAAAUGCC